rnacentral:rRNA from 1 species
GAUGAACGCUGGCGGCGUGCUUAACACAUGCAAGUCGAACGGAAAGGCUCCUGCUUGCAGGGGUACUCGAGUGGCGAACGGGUGAGUAACACGUGGGUGAUCUGCCCUGCACUUCGGGAUAAGCCUGGGAAACUGGGUCUAAUACCGGAUAGGACGAUGUUUUGGAUGCCAUUGUGGAAAGUUUUUCGGUGUGGGAUGAGCUUGCGGCCUAUCGGCUUGUUGGUGGGGUAAUGGCCUACCAAGGCGUCGACGGGUAGCCGGCCUGAGAGGGUGUAUGGCCACAUUGGGACUGAGAUACGGCACAGACUCCUACGGGAGGCAGCAGUGGGGAAUAUUGCACAAUGGGCGCAAGCCUGAUGCAGCGACGCCGCGUGGGGGAUGACGGCCUUCGGGUUGUAAACUCCUUUCGCUAGGGACGAAGCGCAAGUGGCGGUACCUGGAGAAGAAGCACCGGCUAACUACGUG